rnacentral:rRNA from 1 species
UACGUAGGGUGCGAGCGUUAAUCGGAAUUACUGGGCGUAAAGCGUGCGCAGGCGGUUUCUUAAGUCAGAUGUGAAAGCCCCGGGCUUAACCUGGGAACUGCGUUUGAAACUGGGAGACUUGAGUGUGGCAGAGGGGGGUGGAAUUCCACGUGUAGCAGUGAAAUGCGUAGAUAUGUGGAGGAACACCGAUGGCGAAGGCAGCCCCCUGGGUCAACACUGACGCUCAUGCACGAAAGCGUGGGGAGCAAACAGG